rnacentral:lncRNA from 1 species
UGCAGGUUAAUUCUCCACACAUCUGCUGCUGUGGGAAGUAAGCUAAGGAUGUUUUUGAAACGGGACUGCAGAGGAGUCCUUGGUCUUUCCGGUCCUCAAAGGAGAUCUGUUGUAUUUGUUCUUGUGCUUUUGAAUCUAACCAUUAAGAAAACUGUGGGAGACCAACUCCCAACUUCCACACAUGACCCCAAGAUGACUGAAGCUCAAACCACCCAACCCACCACAACCAUCAGCAAACUGUAUCCUAUAUGCACAACCAGGUCAAAGACUGAAAACAGCCAAACCAUUCACACCACCACUGUCCCUCCAGACCGCAACAAAGAAGUCUUACAUCCUACAUCCCAGACUAGGGGAGAAUACACCAGAGCUCAAGAUUACAUCGCAAACAUUUCCUCUACACUCAAGACUGAGAGAAACAACACGGAAGAUAUGAACGUCACCCCUUCUUUCAAGAAUGAGAUAGUGAACUAUAGUGAUGUCUUACCAACAUCUCAGACCAAUGGAAACCAAACUCAAGAUGAGGGCAAGGACUUUGAUGACCAAGGCUCCAUUGCCUCCGUUAUGACCCAAACUGAGAACUAUAAUAUCAC